rnacentral:lncRNA from 1 species
UUUUUUUCUUUUCUUUUCUUUUUUUUUUUUUAGGGCCACACCCAUGGCACACGGAGGUUCCCAGGCCAGGGGUCAAAUUGCUGCUAUAGCCUCCUGCCUGCACCACAGCCACAACAACGCAAGAUCCAAGCUGCGUCUGUGACUUACACCACAGCUCAGGGCAAAGCCGGAUCCUUAACCUGCUGAGCGAGGCCAGAGAUCAAACCUGCAUCCUCAGGGAUGCUAAUCAGAUUUGUUUCCACUGAGCCAUGACAGGAACUCCAACAAACCUGUCUUAAAUGCUCAUUGCGGUGUUUUGAUAAAGCAGUACCAAAGAGGCAAAAUAAAUAUUUAUGGAAUGAAUGAAGUCCCCAAUCCACCAUUGCUGAAGUUCUAACAUAGAAUGAAUAUACUAUAUUUUCCUGUGUUUUCAUGGUGGAAAUAAGGAAAGGAAGGUAGUAAGAAAUUUCUUUUAAUGAGUGCCUACUGUUUACCAAGCUCUGUAAGGCAUAUAUCUCUAAAGCCAAUUGCACUGAUCUGAAAUUCUAUUUGUUUAAGAAUAGAUAUGUAAUAUAGUUCAACACAAGAAAACAAGCCAAUUAACAAGUAGGCAGAGGCUCUGAAUAAACAUUUUUUUACAAGUGAGUCAUAUGGAUGAUCAAUGGGCAGAUGAAAAGAUGCUCAACAUCACUAAUCACCAGGAAGAUGCAAAUCAAAACCAUGAGUUAUCACCUUAUGCCUGUCAGAAUGGUAUUAUCAAAAAGAGAACAAAUAACAAGUGUUGGUGAGGAUAUAGAGAAAAGGAAACCCUUUCACACUCCAUAAGAAAGAAUAAAAUCUUGCCAUUUAUGGUAUUAUAGAUGGACCUAGAGGAUAUUAUGCUUAGUAAAAUAAGUCAGAUAGAAAAAGACAAAUACUAUAUAGUUUUACUUACAUAUGGAAUCUUAAAAAAAAGCAAGUAAAAGAACAUAAUAACACAUAAAGAACAUAAUAACACAUAAAUAGAAUUAUAGAUACAGAGAAUAGACAGGUGUUUGCCAGAGGGGAGUGGGAUGAGGGAGGAAACAAAUAGAUAAGGGAAAUUAAGUAUAAACUCCCAGUUGCAAAAUAAAUGUCAUGGGUAUAAAAUGUACAGUGUGGGGAAUAUAGUCAAUAACUAUGUGUAUCUUUGUAUGUUGACCAUAUCACACGUAAUUAGACUUACUGUGGUAAUCAGUUUGAAAUACACAGAAAUAUCAAAUCCCUAUGUGGUGUAACAGGAACUAACAUAAUGUUGUAGGUCAAUUAUACUUCAAAGACAAACGAAUUCAAAGAAAAGAACAUCAGAUUUACGGUUACCAGAGGCAAGGGAUGAGUAGAGGAGGAAUGAGAUGAAGGCACUCAAAAGGUGUAAGUUUUUCCACUUCUAAGAUAAAUAAGUCCUAGGGCUACAAUGUAAAGCAUGAUAAAUAUAACUAGCACAGCUAUGCUUUAUAUGAAAGUUGUUAAACAAUUUAACUCCUAAGAUUUCUCAUAAGAAACAUUUUCUAUUUCUGAAUUUUUGAACCCAUAUGAGAUUACAGAAGUUCACCAAUAUUACUGUGAUAUCAUUUCAUGAUGUACAUAAGUCAAAUCAUUUUUCUGUAUAUCUUAAACUUCUACCAUACUAUAUGUCAAUUAAAUCCAAUAAAAAUGGCAGGAGAAAAGGAGAGGAGAGAGAAAAGAAAAGAGAAAAGACAAUACAUGUAAAUUUUUCUAAUUGCUUCAUGUAUCUGUGCCCAGGGUCUGUUUUUCUACUACGUCUGUCUCUUUCCCGGUGUUAAACACUGUUCUAAACUAAAGAAUUUUGUAGAAGGUAUUGCCCAGAUGAAGUAUCUAAUGCUUUCUCUCUGUGAUACUGGAAGGCACCAGCAGGAACUGUUUCUUAACACAAUAUCCUCUGAGAUUUUUUUAUUUGAAAUACAAAAAUAAUGGUAGUAAAACUGAUUUAUCUUUUUUCUGUGCAUUAAAGCUUUUUAGCUGUAAAAUAAAGCAGAGAUAUAGAGAACACGGAAAGAAUAAAAUUUGAUGAAUCAUAUAAGCUAAAUCCCUAUAACUUCUAAUGUCAAGAAAUAGAACUUUGCCAGUCACCAUAGAAGUCUCCAUGUACCUCAGGCCAACCACAACCCCUACAUUCCCUUAAAAGUAAUUGUAUCUGACUUUUGUAAUAAUUUUUUUCUUCUAUUUCCUUAUAGUCUAUCUACCCAAUUAUGUAUUCCUUGACACUAUAGCUUAGUUGUGUAUCUCAUACCCUAUAACUUUCUGCUCUAUCCCUUUCUUUCCUUAUAAUUAAUCUGUGGAAAAACCUGAGGCAUUUGACCUACAGAUUUUCUCACAGUCUGGAUUUUAUACAUAGUGAAGUUGAAAAUGUCCCUAAAAUUUAUUAUUAUUUUUUUCUUUUUAGGGCCACAGGUACAGCCUAUGGAGGUUCCCAGGCUAGGGGUUGAAUUGGCCCUACAGUUGCUGGCCUAUACCACAGCCACAGCAACAUCGGAUCUGGGACACGUCUGUGACCUACACCACAGCUCAUGGCAACACCAGAUCCUCAACCCACUAAGCGAGGCCAGGGAUUGAACCCGCAACCUCAUGGUUCCUAGUUGGAUUCGUUUCCACUGUGCCAUGAUAGGAAAGCCCCUAAAAUUGAUUUUUAAGACAACUUCAAGAACCGAUGAUUCUCCAAAUUAUAAGCAAAUUAAACAAAUGAUAAAAAACCUGAUUCCUUCAAAGAAUAAACAUACAUGUAAAUCUCAAUUCAAAUUUAAAGCCCAGUCCAGGCUAAGAUCCCUAGUUUAAUAAAUUCAGCACAAAUAAUCAUGUUAAUGGAGUCACAGGGGAUGCCCAAGGUAUUUAAUCUGUCAAAUAUCAGUUAAAAUAUUAGCUUCAAGGAUACAGCAUGUAUAUUAUUUUCUUUAAUAACAGAUCCAUUUUUUCAUCUUUAUUGUAAAUUAAUCCUAAAUAUUUCUGCAUCCCUGAGAAAUUAACUUUAGCAUAUACCAAAAUAUAGCAGGUGUACAAGAGAGGGACAUACUUGUGACAAGAAAAAAAAGCACCUGGUGAUUUGACACAUCUGUUACCUGUUACCCACAGCAAGGGUAACACACACACAGAGCCAAGGGGUGGCAAUUAUUAGUGUGCUCCAGGUCAGAGAAGAGUAGAUGAUGGAUAUAUCAUCAAACAAAAAUAUAUUAUCUGGGACAGGAGACAUGAUAAUUUGGAGAAAAUAAGCUGACAGCUUAUAAAAAAUGUUUGCCUCCUUCUGUCAUUUAUCAUGCCCAUAACUCUUUACAACUGAGACAUGAAACAUUAAACAGAGAGUAUCACUGUUAGGUUUUUAUGUACUCUUCAUAUCAAAUGAUCGUAUGUAGUUCUUCAAAUAUCUCUGUGAUAAUGAGGAAACUAUCACUGUCUCCAUUUUACAGAGUAGAAAAUAGAGGACUGAGAGAUUAAAUAGCUUACAAGUAUAGUCAGUGUCAGGAUAUCAGGAAUUCUUGGAGGUGUUGAGCUAUAAUAUAGGGCUAAUAUGUGGUCCACAGACCAGAAGCAGCAGCAGUAUAUUCCUGGUCCCUCCUCAAAACUGAAGAAAUCACAUUCUCUGGGAGCAAAACCCAGGAAUCUGUACUGUCACAAGCUAUCUGGAUGAGUCUUAAUCGUAGUAAAUUUUGAGGUGCAUUGAUGUAAAGACCAACAGUUUUAAAGCCAACACAACUGAACUUAGAGCUUUAUGCAAGGUGUAAAGAUGAAGAAAUCAUCAGGCAUGCAAAGCAUUUACGACGGCAUCCAGCAGAAAACAGACACUCAUUAUACAGGAAGCCCUCCUUUGAACUGCCAAUGGAUCUACGUACAUGAGGACGUUUGGACUCUUGCGGUACCUUCCUGCUCACCAGAACUGAGAUCCAUAAGAAGUGGAAUGAGAACUCUUUUCUGGACUGAAGACCAAUGCUGUAAGAACGCAGGGAAUGCAUACUGAAUCAGCCCACUUCAUCCACUCUGGGGACACAGUGCAGAGGUCAUUUUACCAUUCACUUUUGUAAUAUAUAUUUAUGUUGGGCAUUUUGUGUAUCAAGUACUGUGUCUAAGGCUGAGGAAAAAAUGUAGACAUAACUGACUUGGUUUCCACAAUUUGCUGGCUCCUUGGGAAACAAGCAAUAAUCAAAUAAUCCAAGAGGUACAUGUAUUUAAGAAAAGUAUAGUAAGUACUAUAAAGAAUGGGUUCAGAUUAUAUGAGAGUUUAUAGAUGGGACCAGAGUGAGAAUAGAGGGGUAGGAAUGGUUUUCCUGAAGGAUGGAGGUUUGAGAUGAGAUCUGAAGAGUGAGUGGAAUUAACCAGAUGAAGGUUUGGUGGAGGUCUUUCUAGAGGGGGAAUACAGCAAAGAUUAUAUUGAAAAGAAAUCUGACAUUUUGAGACGUUGAAGAGAGCAGAGUGUGGCUCAGACAAGGAAAAAAGGAAGUAUGGUAGUGGAAAUGAUAGAAGGGCAGGCUGGAGCCAGAUCACACAAGAACUUGUAAAACAUCUUGGGAGCAAGGGGAAGCCUUUUAAACACUUUAAGCAGGUAUGUGACAUUAUCAAAUUCAUAUCUGAAAAAAAUCUAUCUCUGGUUGCAUUAUGGAAAAUAGUCAGAAGUAGGUCAAGAAUAGAUGGCGGAAGCCUCACUUAGGAAUAUAUUUCAGCAGCCCCAGCAAAAAAAAAAAA